GACGGAGGAUGCAAGUGUUAUCCGGAAUCACUGGGCGUAAAGCGUCUGUAGGUGGUUUAAUAAGUCAACUGUUAAAUCUUGAGGCUCAACCUCAAAAUCGCAGUCGAAACUAUUAGGCUAGAGUAUAGUAGGGGUAAAGGGAAUUUCCAGUGGAGCGGGUGAAAUGCGUAGAGAUUGGAAAGAACACCGAUGCGAAGGCACUUUACUGGGCUAUUACUAACACUCAGAGACGAAAGCUAGGGUAGCAAAUGGG
rnacentral:rRNA from 1 species